UUUUAUUAAUCGCUCUAUCGGUCAUGGACUAUAACUUGACAUCAGGUCAGGCUGAGACAGCGCUCACUUGAACCAAAAUGUUUUUGGUCAAUUUUGAGAAAAAAUGUUGAUAAACUCAGAAAAAUGUGGGGAUCUGUUGAUUUCUGUGUGAAUUUUGUGGUUAUUUGUGAAAAACUGGAGGGGCCUAUUGCUGUAAUUUGGAGUCUCGAGGGCCACAUAGAAAGCUAUGGCGGGCCAGAUUUGGCCCUCGGGCCUUGAGUUUGACAUUCUUGCCAUAUAUGAUAAUCUGGAGAACUUUUUUCAAUAUCUAUACUUUGGGAAGUUAAUUUUGCUUGUUUAGUCAAACAUUUAUUUUCUUUUGUACAGAGGAAAAAGAGAGUGGGAAAGAAAAUGUAUAAUAAAUAGAUGUAAACAACAUGACAAAGUAAAAGAUAAAAACUAUAACUAUUGAUUUCUAAAUCUUGUUGAAAGUUGAGUCGGAUUGAUUAAACCUCGUUUUUAAUAUCAGGCUUAAGACUCAAAAAUUGUAAAUGAGUAAUAAUUGUAAUGUACUAGUAUUGUUGUGGCUUGUUUAUUGUUGCCAUAGCAACUGCCUACCAAGAUGGCUGUCAGUUAAAACAAAGAAAGUUGUAAUCUAUAUUUUCAGUUUGUUUUUGUUAGCUUUUUAAAGGCACCAUGUAGUUCUUAUUAUAAAUAGUUUUUCUCCAUUAAUUCGCGUUUUUACUUUUAUCAGCAGAAAUGUUUCAGUGUUAUUUGUUACCUGUGUUACCUCCUGAAAAUGGCGUUAGCUACAGUUUAUUAGCUCUAGCUAGCUUAGUGAACAAGCAGAUCACCAGCUAAUCACGUUAGCAUGUUUCAGUAGAUAUCUUGUGUCUAACGGUUCAUGGAAAGUUUGAGGAGUUUAGCUGAAACCAAACGUUUUGUGUUUUGAGAAUCUCCUGCAACAUUAGCCAUGACUUAUUAUGUUUUGUUUAUAGAUUAUAAUCCACUAUAAUCUACCUGCUUCAUCGGGCCAGCUAGGUGAAAAAUAUAACAAAGAUAUACAAUUUCUGAGGGUAUGUAAACUUCUGAACUUCACACUUCGCUGGUAAAGAAGAAGCUUGUUCAGGUCGGAGGACCCAGGAAGCAAUCGUCUUUCGAAAGAUUGACGGAACCUCACAGCCCACACUUUGCCUUCCUGAGCGCUGGAAGCUGACACUGAUCCAACCUAAAUAUCCCAGCAGCAGGAAUGAGUCAGGAAGUCCGGAGUCUGCUGAGGAAAGCCUGGACCUCUCCUGGGUACAGUGCGUCCGGCCGGAGUAAACGCUGCGUCAGAUCUCUUUCCGAUGACUUUGUCACGUUUCGGGAUGAAUAUUUAGGCGCGGCUCCGCGCGGCCACCCACAGCAGAGAAAAUCCCGGGGUCAUCAGACAGCGCGGCUGUGUGCUGGACACAGAAGAUUAGCUUUGACAGUGUUUUCCACUGAUUGUAAUGAAAACAAAUUAGCCAGUGUGGAGAGUGGGGCUGUUAAUGCUGGGCCCCAUGAGGGCCGUAAACGGCCUCGCACAGCAGAGCAUGACUAACCUAAUUAAAGCUGCUACACAAGUGGA